rnacentral:rRNA from 1 species
GUUAAGCGACUAAGCGUACACGGUGGAUGCCCUGGCAGUCAGAGGCGAUGAAGGACGUGCUAAUCUGCGAUAAGCGUCGGUGAGGUGAUAUGAACCGUUAUAACCGGCGAUUUCCGAAUGGGGAAACCCAGUGUGUUUCGACACACUAUCAUUAACUGAAUCCAUAGGUUAAUGAGGCGAACCGGGGGAACUGAAACAUCUAAGUACCCCGAGGAAAAGAAAUCAACCGAGAUUCCCCCAGUAGCGGCGAGCGAACGGGGAGGAGCCCAG